AUACCUUUCUCGGCCUUUUGGCUAAGAUCAAGUGUAGUAUCUGUUCUUAUCAGUUUAAAUUAAUAUCUGAUAUGUGGGUCAUCGGCCCACAUGAUAUUAAAUUAAUUUUGGGGAUUUUGGCCAAAAACCCCUACUUGGAAAACGUUUUAGGAUUUAGCCCAACAAACGUUUUCUUUU
rnacentral:snRNA from 1 species